rnacentral:ncRNA from 1 species
UAAAAGUUGGGUCCUGGCUUUACUAUCAUCUUAUGCUCAACUUACACAUGCAAGUACCCGCACCCCUGUGAGAAUGCCCUAUACCCUCUAAAAGAGGACAAGGAGCCGGCAUCAGGCACACAUACCAUGUAGCCCAAGACGCCUUGCUUAGCCACACCCCCAAGGGAACUCAGCAGUGAUAGAAAUUAGGCAAUGAGCGAAAGCUUGACCUAGUUAGAGCAUCCAAGAGCCGGUAAAACUCGUGCCAGCCACCGCGGUUAUACGGGUGCGCUCAAGAUGAUAUCCUACGGCGUAAAGCGUGAUUAGAGGUAAGACCAAACUAAAGCCGAACAACCCCCAAACUGUUAUACGUUAACGGGGUGAGGAAGACCCACAACGAAAGUAGCUUUAACCCUAACCCUUGAACUCACGACAGUUGAGAAACAAACUGGGAUUAGAUACCCCACUAUGCUCAACCGUAAACAAUGAUGUUUUAUUACAAAAACCUCCGCCAGGGGACUACGAGCAGAAGCUUAAAACCCAAAGGACUUGGCGGUGCCUCAAACCCACCUAGAGGAGCCUGUCCUAGAACCGAUAAUCCCCGUUAAACCUCACCUCUCCUUGUCCAUUCAGCCUAUAUACCGCCGUCGCCAGCUUACCUUUUGAGAGACCCACAGUAAGCCCAACGAGUACUACCCAAAACGUCAGGUCGAGGUGUAGCCAAUGGAGAGGGAAUGAGAUGGGCUACAUUCUCUGACCCAGAGUAAUACGAAAGAUAUAAUGAAAAAAUACUACUGAAGGUGGAUUUAGCAGUAAAAAGAAAUAGAACAUUCUUUUGAAACAGGCUCUGAGGCGCGUACACACCGCCCGUCGCUCUCCUCGAAACAACUAUAUAUGUAUAUAACCACUAAAUAAAAUAAAGAGGAGGUAAGUCGUAACAUGGUAAGUGUACCGGAAGGUGCACUUGGUUAAAA